UACGUAGGGGGCUAGCGUUGUCCGGAUUUAUUGGGCGUAAAGAGCGCGUAGGCGGCCGAGUAAGUCCGACGUGAAAUCUGGAGGCUCAACCUCCAGCGGUCGUUGGAAACUACUCGGCUAGAGUUCGGAAGAGGCGAGUGGAAUUCCCGGUGUAGCGGUGAAAUGCGCAGAUAUCGGGAGGAACACCUAUGGCGAAGGCAGCUCGCUGGGACGUUACUGACGCUGAGACGCGAAAGCGUGGGGAGCGAACAGG
rnacentral:rRNA from 1 species